rnacentral:hammerhead_ribozyme from 1 species
AUCCAGCUGACGAGUCCCAAAUAGAACGAAACGCAAGUCCUGGAU